rnacentral:tRNA from 1 species
GCACCAGUAGCUCAAUUGGACAGAGCAUGACACUACGAAUGUCAAGGGUCCAGGUUCGAGUCCUGGUUGGUGUA